UCGUAAACCGUCUGCACACGCGCAACUUCACCUAAGGGACAUAUUUAGCUGGACCCAGAUAUGCAAGAAAUGUGGAGGUAGGACGUUUUGUAGUGCAAGGUUACUGAUCAAGCGAUCUUCAGUUCCAGUCGUACGCAUGCUUUGAAUAAAGUGCUGCUACUUGCUCUUCAAGAAUGAAGUUAUUGAGUAACGUCAUUGCAGCAUUUAUAACAGGUGUUACGUGGGCAAAAAACUCGGCUGACCGCAACCGGCUGGACGUGCUACAGCAUCUCUUUGGCGGUAUCAUGUAUAAUGGCUUCGCACUCCGCGAUCUUUAUUUCACCGUACGACCGGAAGGAGCACCUCCGAAUAGUACGCUUUACCGCUUCAACCUGACAUAUGGAAAGU